GUAGCAUUAACCAUAUUGGUUCGACCUAUCCCUGUCCAGCUUUCCUGUCUUAUGAGGACCCUGGCGUCGGCUCUCAGUGGAUCCAACAGCAGCUGCCAACAGGGACAGAUCCCCAGCAUGUCUGAGGGGCAGGGGUGAAGUAAUUUCUCACACUCAGGGUUGUGGAGCCACCCUUCAGUCCCCUUCUGCCGAGCCCCAGAAGCUCGAAGCCUCAGUUUGGAGCAGAUGGCUCCUGAGGAGCUGUCAGAACUCCUGUCAGUCAGGGGAGGUCAGGCAGGGAGCAGCAGGGACACAGAAGCACUGGUGACAGUACAUAUGUGCUCUUACUCUAGGGCUUGGACUGAGUAAGUAAGUCUUCUUCAUUCUUCUUUUUCUGGUUUUGAAUAUUCCUCCCUGCAGGGAGCUUUAUUCCCCAGUCUGGCAGUCUGGGAACAAAAGAAAGACUUUAAUAGCUCUUGGCUUCUAAUCUCAGGGCAGACAGAAAACUUCAUUGUGACCUCGAGCAAAUUAUUUAAACUCUUAACAUCAAAUUCACCUCUAUUCAUGCUCUCUGCAACCUCAAUGUCAUUAUAUUGAGAACUUAAUUUGUUCUACAUUCCCUCAUAUGUAAUCCCAAGAGCAGUGUUUGUCUUUCUCAUAAGCAUUUUUCAAGGAAAGAUUCCCUUUCUGGUUUUGCUACAGUUCUGUAUUUUGAAGUACUGCAGGAGCUGUGGACUGUGUCUUUGUGGGUUUUGUCUUCAGUAUUUGGGGUGGGAUCAUGGAUGAAAAUAUAAACUUCUAGGGAGAAAGGCUCCCUGUUUGCUGUAUGUGCCACAUGGAAAGGAGGCCUGCUACCUCAGCACAGGCAUUCUGCUCCCCUUUAAUUUCCUGCUUCCAUGAGUUUUUCAUUUUCCAGGCUGCAGGUGCCUUCUGGAGUCUCCCAAUCUCCUGGACAAGGGCUGUGCUGACAGAUCCCAUCUCGGGCAGCAGAGGCAGAGGCAGCCUCCUCCUGGAGAUGUGUCCAGGGAAGGGAAAGAUGGGCUGGACCUGCACUGGAAGAGGUUGUGCCCAUUAGGAUGGUUUGGCUGAGAAUCCCAAGGGUGAAUUGAAAAGCCUGACAAAAGCUCCUGUCAAAUCACCUUCAGCAACAGGGAGGCUGCAAAACCCCAAACAUGCUAAGAGACCUUCCUCUGUUCAUCAACAUGGAUAUCCUUGGCUUUAUGACCACUCAGCAUGCUAAAAUUGGGGACUACACACUUCAAAAUACUCCAAGAGGCUCCCAGAGAAACCAGUGGCCUGGAAAACCAAAUAAAAAUGCCUCCAAUUAAUAAACCAA